AAAAAAAUAAAAGCUUUCUCUUCAUUCUCUCUCUGGGCAUUGCCCAAGAUUCGGCCAUGGGGCCACCAUCCGUCCGUCAUGGCCGUCGGCCGGCGACGGCGGUGACCGCCGUAUACGGCGGUCGGAGUCCCAAAAAAGAACCCAUUUUGAUCCAAUCGACCUCCCCAUGCCCGUUUUGAAGCCGCAAUCUUCAAAAGACAAACGAAAGUACCCGAACGAGCCAGAGACCCCCCAAAUUCCGGCCUCGCUGUUAACGGCCGAUUUCGGCGACUGAGGGAGGGCCCCCCAACGACAUGGCCGUGGCACGUUUCAGGUGACAGAGCAGUGUCAGACGCGUGAAGGAGGUGGCGUGCGGCAUGCGGCGCUGGGCAGAAGCAGGAGCGGCGGCCAGCAGCAGCUAGGGUUCUCUGCUGCUGAAAUUUUAAUUUCCUGGGCUAGGGUUUUUUAUUGUUGGGCCUGUUGGGUGUUCGUUUUGGAUAUUGGGUUUUUGAGUGUGUUGGGCCCGGGCAGAUUUUGGGCUUUACACCUAACUUUUGCUUUCUUUCUUUUAACACAUUUAUGGAAGUUUUCUCAUGAGACUAAGAUGCUCA